AUGACCCUUGGCCCCGCACUUCUCGGUGACCCUCCAGCAUCUUAUGACCCCCUGGAACUACCCCCUCCGGGAUUCCCUGACCCAUCCCUUCUUGUGACCCUCAGCCCCGUGCGCUUCGGUGACCCCAGCCUAUCCCUUUCAGGGGGGGACCCCUCAUCUCCCUUAUCUUGGUGGCCCCUGACCCCGGGCUCCCUGGGGAUUCCUGCCUGGUCCUCCUCAGUGUCCCCCCUCCCAGGACCCCUCUUUUCCUGGCUCCUUAGCCCGAGCAGCGCUGCAGGAGGGGCAGACACUCCUGUUCCCCCGCUGCGGGUGGGGUCCCUGGCCCUUGGGGUAGGGGCCUUGCUGGUAUUAGCUGACCCCGGCAGGCGGCAGAGCUUGUUGGUGUGGGAUUGUGGUCCUGAGGUGGCAUUGGGACUGGCCGAAAGAUGGGCCAGGGGGAGGUGGUGGGCAGGGACUCCUGCCCAGAGGUGCGAGGAGCAGCCAGUGUGGGUGGCCGAGGAGGGGCCGUGGCCAGAGAGUCAUGCGGGCACUGCUGCUUCCCAGAGCCCCGAGCAGGAGGCUGGUGGACCCGAGGGAUGCCGGGGCGUGGACGGCCAGACAGGGGUGCCAGGGAGGCGGUGGGGUGUCCCCCUGCGAGAGGCUGUUACCGUUCUGAGAAGGAGAAGACCCGAGUCUGUGUCGUGUGUCUGGGGUGCCCCCGGCUUCUGCUUCCUGGAACGGAAUGCGCGUUGGUCCCGCUGCCUGUCCACGGCCCCACGGUCCGGGUUUGGUGUCACCUGUUUGCGUGCGAUGAAGCGUGCUGGCAGCCCGGGGGGUGGUGAGCGUGUCAGGAUGGGUCAGGGGGCUGGUGCUGGACUGACCUCAGCUGGGGGCCUGCUGCCAGGCAAGCUGAUGGAGCCCCUGUCCCUGUGGGCGAUUCUGAAAAGUUCCAAGAAAAUGGGGCUGGGGCCUGGGGGCGCACGCCCCAGAGGGAAGCAAGGCCCCUCACAGGCAGGACACUCCUGGGAGGGUAGGAGGCGGCCGGUCAGUAGAUGGGAAGGGCCACCAGCGCUGGACCCGACCGUGCGCUUCACUUUGCCCUGCCCUGGGUUCUGCUGGUCUGGCUGCGGGCACCGUGUGGCCGGACCCCGAGAGCAGAGCAGUGGCCAAGUGCCCCGGUCUUCAAGGCUGAGACCUGGGGCCCGUUGGCCGGCCAGUCUCAUCUUUUCUUCCAAACUCCCUGGAUUUUCCCAGGGGAGGCCCCAGAGGUGGGCGAUGGCUGCUGGGGGCUGUCUGCUCAGGAACGCUGUCCCCAGCUGGCAGUCCCCUCCAGAGUCCUUGUGA
rnacentral:lncRNA from 1 species